UGGGGAAUUUUGGACAAUGGGGGAAACCCUGAUCCAGCCAUCCCGCGUGUGCGAUGAAGGCCUUCGGGUUGUAAAGCACUUUUGGCAGGAAAGAAACGUCGCGGGUUAAUACCCCGCGAAACUGACGGUACCUGCAGAAUAAGCACCGGCUAACUACGUGCCAGCAGCCGCGGUAAUACGUAGGGUGCAAGCGUUAAUCGGAAUUACUGGGCGUAAAGCGUGCGCAGGCGGUUCGGAAAGAAAGAUGUGAAAUCCCAGAGCUUAACUUUGGAACUGCAUUUUUAACUACCGGGCUAGAGUGUGUCAGAGGGAGGUGGAAUUCCGCGUGUAGCAGUGAAAUGCGUAGAUAUGCGGAGGAACACCGAUGGCGAAGGCAGCCUCCUGGGAUAACACUGACGCUCAUGCACGAAAGCGUGGGGAGCAAACAGGAUUAGAUACCCUGGUAGUCCACGCCCUAAACGAUGUCAACUAGCUGUUGGGGCCUUCGGGCCUUGGUAGCGCAGCUAACGCGUGAAGUUGACCGCCUAGGGAGUACGGUCGCAAGAUUAAAACUU
rnacentral:rRNA from 1 species